CAGUCGCCGCGGUAAUACGUAGGUGGCAAGCGUUGUCCGGAAUUAUUGGGCGCAAAGGGCUCGCAGGCGGUUUCUUAAGUCUGACGUGAAAGCCCCCGGCUCAACCGGGGAGGGUCAUUGGAAACUGGGAAGCUUGAGUGCAGAAGAGGAGAGUGGAGUUCCACGUGUAGCGGUGAAAUGCGUAGAGAUGUGGAGGAACACCAGUGGCGAAGGCGACUCUCUGGUCUGUAACUGACGCUGAGGAGCGAAAGCGUGGGGAGCGAACAGGAUUAGAUACCCGCGUAGUCCCUGUCUCUUAUAC
rnacentral:rRNA from 1 species